AAGUUUGAUGGCGACCGGCGCACGGGUGAGUAACACGUAUCCAACCUGCCGAUGACUCGGGGAUAGCCUUUCGAAAGAAAGAUUAAUACCCGAUGGCAUAGUUCUUCCGCAUGGUAGAACUAUUAAAGAAUUUCGGUCAUCGAUGGGGAUGCGUUCCAUUAGGUUGUUGGCGGGGUAACGGCCCACCAAGCCUUCGAUGGAUAGGGGUUCUGAGAGGAAGGUCCCCCACAUUGGAACUGAGACACGGUCCAAACUCCUACGGAAGGCAGCAUG
rnacentral:rRNA from 1 species